rnacentral:lncRNA from 1 species
ACCGAGUUCUUCAGAGCACUCAAACGAGCACCAUCUCCAAAGCCCAACUUGCUGGGAUCCUUGAUGUUUUGGAAAUUCAACCUUGCAUAUUCCCCUCUAAGCUUAUACGCCGCACGAUCAUACGCAUAAGCAGCGGCUUCGGCUGUUUCGUAUGUGCCUAACCAGAUUCGCAUUCUGUUCUGUGGGAGUCUGAUUUCGGCCACCCAUUUACCCCAGUGUCUCUGCCUCACCCCCCUGUAUUGCUUCUUCUUUUCAGGACUCAAAUAGAAGUUGCUCGUCGAUGCGGGGUUUGGAUAGGUCGGAAUCCGGUUCAUUAGCGAGUUGCCCGAAAACGAAGCGUUUCCGUUGUUCUCUUGGCUGAACUUUUGAAGGAGCUCUCUCUGGCGGAGAUAGACUGAAGAGCCUAUUGGCUCGUAAAUACAGUUGGUGGUGAUGGCGGUUGAUGUUGUCGUCGUUGACGGUGCGCAAUGAGAGAAGAUUGAAUCUAAGGUAUUUGAGCCUCCUGACAAUAUCAACUGUGACAGUGAAGAUCCAAUAUUAACAAUAUUAUUGAAUCCAAGAGGAUGAUUGAUUUCUUGCAUUUUUUUAUUCUUGAUUUGAAUCAAAACAGAGGAAACAAGGAGUAUAAGAGUAAAAUUGAAGAAAAACAGGGGCGCUAAAAAAACUGACCCUUUUUCCUUGUAUAAACAAAAGAAAAGAAAGUGAAAUUCUAGAUAACAAAAGAAAAAGAAAGUAGGGUAAUUUGGUUAAGGAAAUGAAGAAAUCUUGGGUUGAACAAGAAUUUUGGUUGGGAGGAAGAAGAAACCCAGAUGGUAUAUGGUGAGAGCCAAGGGUGAGGUUGGUGGUAUUUAUAGCUGUGGUGGACAGUAAAGCUAAAGCUUAGGAUUUUACUUUUAGAUAUAGAGCAAGUUUGAAUUCCGGUCUAACGAAACUUUGAAUGGAACUUUAAAUGGGUUGCGAUGUGUUUAGGCUAUAAUAUUAUUUUAAUAUCUAAUUUUAUUGUAAUAGUUGUUUUUACAUUAAUCGUAUUACUUAUUUAAAGGAAUCUUAAGUUAAUUGGGAGGGCAUUGCCAUGCCUUCCUUUCUCCCUUCUUCUUAUGCAGUCGAGUUAUUAUUAUUAUUUUUGUUUGCCACCAAAUUUAUUAUACUAAAAUUUCAUGGAUGUGUUUUUGCAUGAGGUGCAAAUAUUGUUAUAAAAUCCGCCCAUUCUUUUGAGCAAGAAGAAAUAGGAGGAGUGUCCAUGAAAGGGCAAAAAGAAGAGGUCCCCCGCCCAAAACUGCUAAAAAGCUACUUUUUGUAUUUAUUGCAAGAGGCAGAGCCAGCUUUGGGUUGUCAAAAGUUAAAACUCCUCUGCGCCACGCGUCUUAUGUUAUGCCCAGUUGUCCACCACGCUACGCUUUUCAUUUUUUUGGUUUCAAACUCUGCACAAAAUUCCAAAAUCCCAUUCAAGUCUGAAACCUUCUCUCUUACUGCUUUUUACUUUCAACGUUCAAAAUUCCAUUAUUAUUUUUGUUUCUCUUGAUACUAUAACAUGUUCAAAGAUUUAAAUAUAUGUUAAAAA